CGUAGGGUGCGAGCGUUGUCCGGAUUUAUUGGGCGUAAAGAGCUCGUAGGUGGUUGAUUGCGUCGGAAGUGAAACUUGGGGCUUAACCCUGAGCGUGCUUUCGAUACGGGUUGACUUGAGGAAGGUAGGGGAGAAUGGAAUUCCUGGUGGAGCGGUGGAAUGCGCAGAUAUCAGGAGGAACACCAGUGGCGAAGGCGGUUCUCUGGACCUUUCCUGACGCUGAGGAGCGAAAGCGUGGGGAGCGAACAGGCUU
rnacentral:rRNA from 1 species